AGCAUGAUCAUCUCCCUUUAUCUUUCCUUAAAUGCAGUUUGAGAUUCUCAUAUAUCGGUCUUAUUGAUUUGCAUCUUGUCAGUGUGAAUUAGUAUCAUUUUAUUUUUCCGUUUAAACUCCUUUAAGGCGCUAUGAAGUUUUAGUAGAUGGGGGAUUCUAACGCAUGUGCCACCAAAGAAGUCUUGAAGGUUUAGGUGGUUAUGGCUCACACACG
rnacentral:lncRNA from 1 species